CCCUUAGAUGUUCUGGGCUGCACGCGUGCUACACUGAUAUUGCCAAUAUGUCAUUCUUAUCCGAAAUGGAUUGGGUAAUCAAGUAAUGAAAUUUCAUGCUUGGAAUCGGUAAUUGCAAUUUUAUCGUGAACGAGGAAUUCCUAGUAAGCACUAGUCAUCAGCUAAUGUUGAUUAUGUCCCUGCCCUUUGUACACACCGUCCGUCGCUACUACUGAUUGGGUGUUCAAGUGAGAUGCUUAGACCCUUGUUGCAUGGUUCAUUAUUGUGCUCCGAAAGGAAAAAGUUUCAAGCUUGAGUGUCUAGAGGAAGUAAAAGUCGUAACA
rnacentral:rRNA from 1 species